GACGAACGCUGGCGGCGUGCUUAACACAUGCAAGUCGAACGAUGAUGCGGUGCUUGCACCGUUGAUUAGUGGCGAACGGGUGAGUAACACGUGAGUAACCUGCCCUCUUCUUUGGGAUAACGGUCUGAAAGGGCUGCUAAUACUGAAUAUUCACAUGUCUUCGCAUGGGGGUGUGUGGAAAGAGACGCUUUUGGGUGUUUUUGGUGGGGGAUGGGCUCGCGGCCUAUCAGCUUGUUGGUGGGGUAGUGGCCUACCAAGGCUUUGACGGGUAACCGGCCUGAGAGGGUGACCGGUCACAUUGGGACUGAGAUACGGCCCAGACUCCUACGGGAGGCAGCAGUGGGGAAUUUUGCACAAUGGACGCAAGUCUGAUGCAGCGACGCCGCGUGAGGGAUGUAGGCCUUCGGGUUGUGAACCUCUUUCGCUCAUGGUCAAGCCGCAGCUUUGGGUUGUGGUGAGGGUAGUGGGUAAAGAAGCGCCGGCUAACUACGUGCCAGCAGCCGCGGUAAUACGUAGGGCGCGAGCGUUGUCCGGAAUUAUUGGGCGUAAAGGGCUUGUAGGCGGUUGGUCGCGUCUGCCGUGAAAUCCUCUGGCUUAACUGGGGGCGUGCGGUGGGUACGGGCUGGCUUGAGUGCGGUAGGGGAGACUGGAAUUCCUGGUGUAGCGGUGGAAUGCGCAGAUAUCAGGAGGAACACCGGUGGCGAAGGCGGGUCUCUGGGCCGUUACUGACGCUGAGGAGCGAAAGCGUGGGGAGCGAACAGG
rnacentral:rRNA from 1 species